AAUUCUCAACCCCUCCAGCUUUUGCGAGUUGUGAUGGGGCUUGGAUAUGGGGGCUUGCGGGUCUUUACUGAUGUAAAGGUCAGCUCUCCUGAAAUACAUUAGCGGAACCGUUUGCAGUCCCGUCACUAGUGUGAUAAUUAUCUACACUGUGAUGGAUUGCUCUCUGACUAGUUCAGCUGCUAAUCGUCCGUUAUGGACAAUGUUUAAUGAACU
rnacentral:misc_RNA from 1 species